GUUUUUUUUUUUUUUUUUCCUGUGAAGUUUUAGGCUCUUCCAGAGCCUUCUAAAUUAUGUCUGGCAUUGAUGGAGGCUUAGUCAGUGUUCAUUUAAUUUUAUCAAACCAGACCAUUAGUCAUUCAAAUUAAUGUUGAAAUGUACUAUCUAUGUUCUUUUGAACUAUUUGGUAAGUCGUAAAGAGUAAAAAUCUUUGUUGGUGUUUGUGACUUGUUUGCCUAUACUCAUCCAUUAGACCACGUGUCAUUUCUGUCUUUUCAAAAUUAUAAAAGUCAGAGGGCACAGAAUGAGGAUAUUAUUAUUUCUACAGACAUCUUAUUUAUCCAUAUCCAGUGAAGCAUCUAUGUUAAUCAAAUGGUAAUGAAUAAAGACUAGAUUUAGAAAACAUGAAACGAAAAAAAAAAAAAAGAAAACAUGAAAUGAUCAUCUCAAGCCGGAAAGAUCAAAAGCUUGGGUCUCUGCAGUCCCAAGCAUGACCUAACACUGACCUCCAUGCUUAGAAAGACUUCUUAUUCUGCUACUCAUUAAUUUCUGUCAAACAAUGGAGGAAUAUCUAGGUAUAUUAUGGUAUGCUUGCAUAAUACAAAAGUUUGUGGUUUUGUGACAUGCAUUUGCAAUGCCAUUUAAUGUUAUGGGAAGGUAUUUAUACUAAUUAUAUUAAGUGAAAAGUCAAAAUAUUUUCUUUUUCAUACCAUAUGAUCUGAAUAGUGCAAAAGGAAAAAAGUUGACAUAAGAAAUUAUUGGAAUGAAAUAUAAUAAAUGUUAAUCAGUAAUUUUAUUCUGUUUAUUUAUACCUUAUGUGUAACCCCAAUUUUCUUCAAAUGAAUACAUCUUGUUUUUAUAGUCAUAUAAAAAUAUAAAUUUGAGGAAAAAAAAUUCAUGUGUAGGAUUCACUAGAGCUGUGAAAAAUGGCAAAAUAUUCAUCCAUGGACUUACAUUGUUCAGCCAGUAGGAGAGUAGCCUGUUAUUCCUAAGGGGAUGGCAGUAAUCUUAUGUUCUGUGUUUCAGACAACAGACAGCAUGGGAGAGCCCUGAAGGAAAUGGGCUGGAGGUAGGAACAGGGCUGGUUAAUGCCUGGCUGCAGUUUAGAGUUGAAGGAGGAAAACCCUUAUCUGUUCCUAACCUGCCCCAUAGUUGUAACCACUUACCCCUACCACAUCACUCCUACCACAUCACAUCACUCCAACCACUUAAUCCUACCAUGUCACAUUACUCUCACUUCUCCAUCCUUCAUAGGCAGCAGGCAUGAAAACCAACUUUAUGAGUUACCUCUCCAAAGAGUAGUCAUCUUAAAUAAGAACCAAGGUCUGAAUCUACACUAAUGAAGGUCAGAAGACAGAAUUGCAGGGGUCAGUGAUCAAUCACACUCAAAUACUUAUUGAAAAGUUUGCUAUGUGCCAGACAUCCACCAAGAUGAGAGAUUCAAUAAAACUCCCUGAAAGAACUCAUACUUUGUUGGUAUAAAUGAAGUUUUUGUUCCAGGAGCUGAGGACAUACCAGAAAACAAAAUAAGGCACCUGCUGUCAAGAAGCUUGUACUACAUCAAUCUCAGUCCUGUGAAGGCUACACUCAUCAGUAUGAGAGCUUCAGUUUAGGUUUUGGUAAAGCAAAGUUGUAAUUUUAUGAGUAUAGUUUGAUUAUAUAUAAGCAGUGGCCAUGUUUAAGUGAGGUUAGCUAAUUUUAUAGAAGAGAGAAACCGCAAUUUUAAUGGAAUGAUCAGAGAAGUUUUUAAACUUACACUAAUAUUCCUUUGGUCAUGACUGGAGAAGCCAAAGUUCAAGACUGAGAAGCAUCUGAAAUGUUUUCCUAGGCAGCCAAUCUGUUUAAGAGACUUCUCACAGUCAUUAAAGUAAACAUCAAAUUCUCCAUACCACACCCUCAAAACUGGCAGAGAACCCCAAGCCAGGCCCAGUAGGGCUUGACCCCUGAAAAUGAUGCUGUUUAAGCCCUAUGAUAUAAAAAAUGCCUCUCAGGCCAGACUCGUUUGUCAGAUCUCUCAACAUGGGCGUACUUAACCUAUGGUCUUACUUACAUAAACUAUUUCAUUUAAGAAGCCAAACUAAAUGGAAACAGGAAUGUUCUGUCUGUGUUUGUGCAUGUGUGGUAUGCACGUGUAUAUGGGAUGUGUGUGUGUGUGUGUGUGUGUGUGUGUGGUAUGUGAGAAUGUGUGGGUGUGUGCAGUGAGGACCUAACUCAUACUUAUCCAUGGCUCCAUGUCUAUCCGUGACAGGCUUAUGGGUACUGCCAUAACUAAUGGAGUAACUCCCAAUUCCAUGAGAUACCCAAGAAGAAGAAGAAAAAAAAAAAAAAAAAACUCUCAGUAGGCCAAGAAAAACAGCUACAGGAGAGGACAGAAGAACUUUUAGAGCAGUUAGUGGUAUAGGAAGUAGUAGAGGGAAAGAAGAUGAUGUUGUUCCCAAUAGUAAGUCAAUCCAUUUCCCUCACCAGUAGGUGUUUUUCUUUAGCAACCAUGCAUUUUGGGCAGAACAGUAAGAAGCCACAGAAAGGGUAAAUAGCCAAAAAUGCUUGACUCCAUUAUGCUAAAAAAUAGUAAUAAAGGUCUGGAAUGCCCAGAAUUUUCUGCCUUUAAGUCCUGUUGAAACUUCUUAAAUUUGUCUUCUGAAUUUUGGUGUUCUCACUAGGCUAAAGCACAGAGAAUGCAGGACCAGGAUGUUAUUAAUCACUUUAGCUACUAUAUAAUGGUUUUGAGAGAUUAACAUAUGCCAGGUCCUCUGCUAAGGACAUAUUAUCUUGUGUUUUAGAUACUAUCACUGGGCCCACUUUUAUAUGUGAGCAAAUAAAAAGUAGAAUUUGAGAAUCUGCUCAAAAUUAAGAGGUAUGUAGAAUCAGAGGUGGAAUUCAAAUCCCUAGACUGACUUCCUACACAUUCCUGAGCAUGAAAAUGCACACAGUGGGUAGUUAAUAAAGGACUGAAUGCUGUCUAGAAACAUGAGAUGGUAAUGGAUUCACCUGCUUCACAUUCUAAAUUGUACACUCUGAGAGUGGGUCAGUGCACACUGUGAUCACAGCAGAACAGAGCCUACACGAUUCAUGGCAGAAACACUGCACUAGGACCAAGAGCCUGAGCUCUGGAUCUGGAUUCUAGUCCAGCCAUUGGUUCCCUGUGUGGCUUGGCAAAAGCCAAUUUCUAUCUUAGGGCUUCCAUUUCCUUAUCUAGCAAACAAAAGAAAUUUCAUUUUAUCCCAUUAGUCUGUGCAGAGGACCAGAGGAAUAAAUACAACUGAAGGUGCUUCAUAUAACUCACUUGAGAGGUAGCACCAAUGAGGAACAUGUCUUGACACUGGAGCUGUCUUCAUAAUUAUUCUUUGUUUUCUACCACUGAGGAGCUCAAAUAAUACUACUAUUAUUUUAAGUAAAAAUACAACAAAUUCAUCAGAUGUGCUGGGGGGGAAAAUGUGCCAGUGAAAUACUGGCAGGUCAGACGGAAAGUAGAAUCUGACUCAUCAUCCCUUUCAGAAGAAUCUCCAAAUGCUCUCUCCCAGCUUCCAGGACCUCUCCCAAUGCUCUUCCAUAGACUUCAUGCUCCAGUAAUAACACAUGCCAUGUAGUCCCUCCAAAAGAGCAAGCUCUCUCAGAUCUCUGAUCCCUUCCACUUGUGGCUGAAACACUGAUGUCCCAGCUGCUUCAGCAUUUUGAAAUUCAGUCCAUGUAUCACUACUGUCAGGAAACUUCUGCUCCUUCCUCAGUAUUCAAUAUCACUCAUACCAUCACACAAUUCCUGAGAAUCCUUAUCUCCAUUCCUAUCAAGUUCUUCAAAGACAAGCAUGCUU
rnacentral:lncRNA from 1 species